rnacentral:rRNA from 1 species
CCUACGGGCGGCAGCAGUGAGGAAUAUUGGUCAAUGGACGGAAGUCUGAACCAGCCAUGCCGCGUGCAGGAAGACGGCUCUAUGAGUUGUAAACUGCUUUUGUACAAGGGUAAACCUGAAUACGUGUAUUCAGCUGAAAGUACUGUACGAAUAAGGAUCGGCUAACUCCGUGACAGCAGCCGCGGUAAUACGGAGGAUCCAAGCGUUAUCCGGAUUUAGUGGGUUUAAAGGGUGCGUAGGCGGAUUGAUAAGUUAGAGGUGAAAUGUCCGAGCUUAACUCGGGAACUGCCUCUAAUACGGUUGAUCUAGAGAGUAGAUGCGGUAGGCGGAAUGUAUGGUGUAGCGGUGAAAUGCUUAGAGAUCAUACAGAACACCGAUUGCGAAGGCAGCUUACCAAUCUAUAUCUGACGUUGAGGCACGAAAGCGUGGGGAGCAAACAGGAUUAGAUACCCUGGUAGUC